rnacentral:rRNA from 1 species
GCCAGCGGCGAUAGCACGUUAAAUACAUCAGUUUCCAAUGGGUCACUGAAGCAAAGUUGAGUGUGGUUGGUAUCCGGAAGGGUGACCAUCUGGGCUAUCCGUUGCUGCUGGAU